UGUCUGGUCUUUAUUACCUUGGAUAUCCCACUGGUAAUUCUAGAGCUAAUACAUGCUUCCAGACCCAACUUUUGCGAAAGGUUGGGCUUAUUUAAUACCUAAACAACCCCGGCUUGCCCGGUUUGAUUCAUAGUGAUCUGGUCGUCGAAUUUCAGUCGAUGAGGCUAUAUGAUUCAUUCACCUUCUGACCUAUACGCUUCGGACGGGGGGGUAUUGGCCUUCCACGGGUAACGGAGAAUUAGGGUUAUAUUCCGGAGAUUCAGCCUGAGAAGCCGCUACCACAUCUACCACAUGCAAGGAAGGCGGCAAUUACCCAAUCCUGACAAUCCUAGGUAGUGACGGUAGUGACAAUAUAUACCAAUAUGUGUCUUGUUUUGGGAUGAUUGGAAUGAAAAUAAUUUCUAAAGCAUCAAUUGUAGGGCAAGUCUGGU
rnacentral:rRNA from 1 species